rnacentral:snRNA from 1 species
GUGCUCUCUUUGGCAGCACAUAUAAUAAAAUUGGAACAAAACAGAGAAGAUUAACAUGGCCCCUGCACAAGGAUGACACUCAAAUUUGUGAAGCAUUCUAUAUUUUA